rnacentral:rRNA from 1 species
AAACAGGAUUAGAUACCCUGGUAGUCCACGCCCUAAACGAUGCUGACUAGUUGUUCGGGAUUUACAUCCUGAGUAACGUAGCUAACGCGUGAAGUCAGCCGCCUGGGGAGUACGGUCGCAAGAUUAAAACUCAAAGGAAUUGACGGGGACCCGCACAAGCGGUGGAUGAUGUGGAUUAAUACGAUGCAACGCGAAAAACCUUACCUACCCUUGACAUGUCACUAACGAAGUAGAGAUACAUUAGGUGCUCGUAAGAGAAAGUGAACACAGGUGCUGCAUGGCUGUCGUCAGCUCGUGUCGUGAGAUGUUGGGUUAAGUCCCGCAACGAGCGCAACCCUUGUCUUUAGUUGCUACGCAAGAGCACUCUAAAGAGACUGCCGGUGACAAACCGGAGGAAGGUGGGGAUGACGUCAAGUCCUCAUGGCCCUUAUGGGUAGGGCUUCACACGUCAUACAAUGGUGCAUACAGAGGGUUGCCAACCCGCGAGGGGGAGCUAAUCUCAGAAAAUGCAUCGUAGUCCGGAUCGUAGUCUGCAACUCGACUACGUGAAGCUGGAAUCGCUAGUAAUCGCGGAUCAGAAUGUCGCGGUGAAUACGUUCCCGGGUCUUGUACACACCGCCCGUCAUACCAUGGGAGUGGGUUUUGCCAGAAGCCGUUAGCCUAACCGCAAGGAG